GACGAACGCUGGCGGCGUGCCUAAUACAUGCAAGUAGAACGCAGUUUCGAACGGGUGAGUAACGCGUCGGUAACUGCCUGGUAGCGGGGGAUAACUAUUGGAAACGAUAGCUACUACCUCAUCCUACCAGAUGGACCUGCGUUGUAUUAGCUAGUUGGGGAGGUAACGGCUCACCAAGGCAACGAUACAUAGCCGAACUGAGAGGGUGAACGGCAAAAAUGGGACGGAGACACGGGCAAGACGCCUACGGGAGGAAGCAGUAGGGAAUCGUCGGGAAUGGGGGGAACCCUGACCGAGCAACGACGCGAGAGUGAAGAAGGUUUGCGGAUAGUAAAGAUCUGUUGUUAAGGAAGCGGUACUUAACCAGAAAGGGACGGCUAACUACGUGCCAGCCGCCGCGGUAAUUC
rnacentral:rRNA from 1 species